rnacentral:ncRNA from 1 species
UACCCGCAGAAGAAGCACCGGCUAACUCCGUGCCAGCAGCCGCGGUAAUACGGAGGGUGCAAGCGUUAAUCGGAAUUACUGGG